rnacentral:tRNA from 1 species
CCCAUUGCUCAGUUGCUAGAGCACAAGGCUCUUAACCUUAUGGUCGUGGGUUCGAGCCCCAUGGUGGGG